ACCUUUGACUCCAUUUCAGUUCUCCUGCUUUCCAACCUGAAUUUUCAAUGUUGCGUUCUGCUGCUUCAGAGUUUUUACUCCUCAGCAGUGAAAUCAAUCGAUUUCUUCAGGUUAACGAUACUGAUAGUGUUCUUUUUUACCAAAUCCAUGAUGUCAUCUGCGCUCUCUUUGAUUUUUGCAGUGAGGAUGCGGACGAUGUUGUCCUGUAGGCUGGCUCAUUUACGGUUCACUUCUCAGCUUCUUUGGAAGUUGCUCCUUGGUUGGGGUAUUCGGGUAUGAAUCAAAUUCACCCCCCCCCCUUUUUUUACACUGCAAGCAUAUGUGUGAGUUUCAACAAUGCCUCUUUUCUCCUUGGAAGUUUCAACCAACCAUUAUCUCAGCAACAGUUUGGUCAUGUCCUGAUUCCAUGCUACUAGCUAUGAAGACGUUAGCAGGCUAACUUCACUACACACGCGGAAACUUUUCGAUAGCUAGCUUGUUCGUUGGAAAUCAGCAAAAAUAUAUUUCAAUGGUUUGAUUAAUUACAAAAUAGCUACAUUGUACGGUUAGAUAUCAUUUUUUUGGGUGAAAAAAAACAAAUUGCAACUGCAGUCUAAAACUAUAAACUUUGUGAGAAAACCCUAAAAUUCUUCCUCCCCGGUUAUUUUCUAGUUACAGAAUCAGCGCGCGCUCUGGAAAGACAGCAGUAGGGUGCAAAGACAGUUUGCCAGUUACAGCAGCGCGUCCCCUGAACGAUAACGAAAAGGUAAUGUUAGGUGAGAAGCCUGACCACGGAGACGGGGGUGAGAAGGUAAUUCAAACAAAAAUAAGUACAGUGCCAUCCUAGAGUCUUCUUGAAGAGUUGGGUUUAGAGCUACAAGACCAGGGCCAGUGUUUAUCAAAUGUAUGAAUGCUAAUCUAGGAUCAGGUCCUCUGUCCAUAAUAAUCUGAUUUAUUAUGAUCUAAAAGGCAAAACAGAUCCUAGAUCAGACUCCUAUUCUGAGAUGCUUGAUAACACAGUCCCAGAAAGUUAUUUUCCUCAAACUGUAGUUUUAGGCUCUUCUAAUCACAUCUAGUGGAUAAAUAGAGUACUAACCUAUUGCCCUGGUCUACUUAUUACACUACAUUUAUAUGGACAGCAAUACAUGCAUAACUACUCAGACUGUGUUUAUAGUACAGUAUAGUAUUAAAGAGAGAGACUGGUGUAGAGUGAUACUAUCUCUGCUUUGGAGGCUUUAGACCUGUUUCUCUCCUUCCUUCAGACCUCUGUCUCUUCAGGACCACUCUAGCCCAAGGCCCCAGAGGCCAGUCUCAGCUGCCAGAAGCCAGACUCUUCACAGGGCCAGCUCAGCCACCAGAGGAUAACGGGGCCCUGGUCAACAUGGAACUUCUUGGGUUGCCUAACAUUGGCAACACAUGCUUCCUAAACGCCACCCUGCAGUGUCUCCUGGUCCUGCCUUCCUUCUCAAAGGAAAUCCUACGCCAGGAACAACUCUGGAGCUCCUCCCCCUUCUCCAACCUGCUCAGACCUCAUGUGGAAGGUCAAGUACUCCUUGUCGGGAUAUGAUUUGAAGUAUCUGGGGGACACGCAACAGGUAACUGAGAGCACUACUCUCUUCUGAACAAGCACUCUUUUUGCAAAGGUUCAUUUUAUCUCAAUAAUUGGAUUUUAUCUUGGUAUUUUUCUUUUUCAUCAUAGGACGCACACGAGUUACUUGUGAAUAUGCUGUGCCAGCUGAAGGAGGAGGGCAUGAUACUGAAGACGCUCGGGGUGAACUAUACCUGCCCUGUUUCCCAGGUAAGAGCUCCCGUUGGUUGUAAUGUAUCUACUGGUAACAUGAUCUUUCUACAAAUAAUAUUACAAAACACAUGGCAUAACAUUGUAGAGACCUGAAACAGAAACCUGAUGCAUUUUUCUUCUUUGUCCUGCUUUUGAAGCUGUGGGCGUGAGUCGUCCACUAGAGAGGACUACGAUCACCUCUCAUUGGACUUCAGCUCUGAGCGCACCUUGCUAAGCAGCCUAGCACUCACUUUCAAAGUCAGCACGUAGGGCUCAGCCCUGGGUGUAGAGACUAAUACCCAGGGAAAGCUGCCCACUGCCUUAGAAUACGGUAUCUUAUUAUUGAAGUGGUAUCACUCAUUUUGUAAUGCUUUUGUUUCUAACCCAGGGCGAAAAGGUUGAAUUCACAUGUGAUGGCUGCAAAGGCUUCUACCUACGCCUCAAAGGUGGAGCAGUUCCACACACUGCCUCUUGUGUUGGUUCUGCAUCAGAAGAGGUUUGGAGGACCUGGGGGGUUGGAGAAGCUGGAGGCUCCUCUUUUGUUUCCUUAGGAGCUGAGGCUCUCCACCCUCUGUGGGGACAUGGUGCCACCCCUGCACAGUGUCAGCCCACAGGCCCUGACCAACCAGGCCCCCAAUAUCCAGGUGUCCAUCCCCCAGACCCUCGCCAGCCAAGUCUCCAGCCCACCUGGAGAGGCCAAAGAUAGCGCCCUCUGCUGUUCAGAUUCAAAUGACCAGGAACCAGGGAAAGUGCUGUGGACAGCCUCAGUGAAGCAGCAGCCAGUGAAGUCAGUGAAUGGCUACUACCAGCUGACUGGCGUAGUCUCUCAUUUGGGAGGCUCCAAACUCCGGGCACUACAUUAGUGACAUCUUGAAUGCCAGUGGAAACUGGUUCUGCUGUAACGACAGCCAGGUGUCAAUGUCCAAUGAAGCCACUGUGCUGAGGACCAGAGCCCGGAGUGUUUACCUCCUCUUCUAUAUCUUCAGGGCAGGAGAGCAGGAGGCCCCAGCACACAGGGCCACCAGCCCCAGCCUCGACAAGGGCAGCAGCUGGACCAGCCUCCACACCCCAAGCCCAGCCUCAAAACCCUCAGCCCAGCCUCAAUAGGGGUAGUACCAGGCCCAGACUAAACACCCCCAGCCCAGCCUCAACAGGGGCAGCACUGGCCCAGCCUCAACACCUCCAUGUUUGCCCCUCUUCAUGUUUUUCCUUGACAACAUUCCCACUGCUGUGUAAAAAAAAAUAAUACUUAAGGAAUCAGACUUCCAACCCCUACUACAAAAAAUGAUGACUGGUCUGUCAAUCAUGCGGCUCAAGGGAAACUUAAUCUUCAACACUAGCAUGAGCAUCCUUUUCAGUAGCGUAUGUCAUAAAUAUCUGCCCUUGUUUUGACUACUUCACCUAAUGUAUAAAGCGCAUGUAAAUAAAGGAAUAAAGUAUACACACUAAAUGUAGAACGUAAAUGUGGUGGAUAGAGUGUCUGAUUAUUUAGAGGGUAUAACAUCCCUUCUAUUUGGUUAGGUUUGAAAUCCUCCUGUUGUGAAAUACACUGUGGUGUAUAACCUUACUCAGCAUGGUCACACCGGAUGCACUGCAAUAUUCAACAUUGAAUCAGGUCCCCAGGAUAUCGGGAGAUGACUUGUGCAUGCCAUGCAAUUUCAAUAAAGAAAAACAAAUUUAAGAUAAUUCUGUUAACUCUUUCAGCUCAGAAAGAUUUAUCGUCUGGGAUUCAGGCUGGUCCUAAUAGGAAACGCGACAAAGGGAAGCAGCUGGGCAGCUGAUGUUAUGGAGCCUUCUAGCCCUCAAUCAGGUCUGGAGGAGGAAUGCCACAUAAAGAUUCAGAGAUGCUAUGAGUAUAUUUUUAAAUUACUCUCCAGUUGUAUUUACCAUUUGAAUAAAUACAGACAUGAAAAUGCUGGGCUACGGAUGUAACCUUGGUUCUCUGAGUAGAGUAACAGGUCGCCAAACGACCUAUGAGAACUUCUUCCCUUUCACGUGAUAUCAUUGAGAUGCUUAAUAUCAAAGAUGUUUACAGUGAUGCCACACCCUUACUGUACCCAUGUGACCUGUCACUAUAAAAGGGGGUGUGAUGUGACAUACUGUCUUUUCUUCACUCACGUACACUCCCCUACGUAUUUAUUUUGACAGUGAAGCUAAACUUUUAAUUUGGCUCUAUACUCCAGCAUUUUGGAUUUGAGAAACUGUUUCAUAUGACUAUACAGAAUGUCACCUUUUAUUUAAAGGUAAUGAAUGGUAAAUCCUGUAUUGUGCCAAUUUGGAGUAAUUUUAUUGUAAAUAAGAAUCGAGUAUGUUUCUGAACACUUCUACA